GACGAACGCUGGCGGCGUGCUUAACACAUGCAAGUCGAACGGAAAGGCCCUGCUCUUGCGGGGUGCUCGAGUGGCGAACGGGUGAGUAACACGCGUGUAUCCUGCCCUUGACUUUGGGAUAACUUUAGGAAACUGGGGCUAAUACCGGAUAGGAGCUCUUGCUGCAUGGUGUGGGUUGGUAAGUUUCGGCUGUUGGGGAUGUACUCGCGGGUUACCCGCUUGAUGGGGGGGUAGUGGCUUACCAAGGCUUUGACGGGUAGCCGGCCUGGGAGGGUGGACGGCCACAAGGGGCCUACGAUACGGCCCAGUCUCCUACGGUACGCAGCAGUGGGGAGUAUUACAGAAUGAGCGGAAGCCAGAUACGGCGACGCCGCGUGCGGGAUGACGGCCUUCGGGUUGUAAACCGCUUUGGACUGUGACGAAGCGUUAGUGACGGUAAUGGGUAAGGAAGCACCGGCUAACUACGUG
rnacentral:rRNA from 1 species